UUACUUCAAAUCUAUUUUUAUUUGCAUGGAUCCUGCGUCGCAGUCGGAGCCGCAUUCCACAGAAUGGAAUUCCACAAGGGAGAUAUUUGUGUAAUCCACAGUUCAACUAAACACCGCGGGCACAUCAUACUAAUAUCCAAAGCAGCUUCAACACAUGCAGUGACUGAAUUCAGCCGCUGACGUAAAACAGGCGCAUCUACAGAAAUGCUGGUAACCAACAAUCAACGGCGAAACCGGUUUGAAUCGUAUUCACCAUAAUGUGAAUGAUUGGUCUGUGGUAGAAGCAGAAGGUAAAGGGACUUUUCGAAUGGUUUGGGCAUUUCCCAUCAACUUAUCAUGAUUUCAAUACAGUAAUGUAAGCGUACAUUGGUGAGGUUCCGUGUAACGUCGUAGAAAAAGAUGCAUACGCAAUAUUUGAAGCAAUCAACGUUUGACACAACCAGUAAUACGUUUCACUCUAUAUUUAUCGUCGCUGAUCAGGAGUUGCAAAAUCAGGUUGAUUUUCUGCGAUCCGCGCAUCCAUCCGGUUUGUUAACGCUAGAUCCUUCGCAACAGGAGAGUCUUGACACGAAGCUUCCCUUUGCCGAGGUAGACUGCAAGAGUCCGGAACAGAUGAUGAUUGACGAAACCCAGUCCGUGUUUAAAGUUUUUGACUACUGAGAAAGCUAUGCGGAGGGUUCAUCAUUAGUGCGUGCGUGCAUAGAGAACAUCGAUGGUGCCGAGAGCAAUAAAGAGUAGUGACAUUAUUCGAGUAUAGAUUUCCGUUGUACCUCAUUGUCCGGGAGAUUCUAUUGUAGGGAUAGAAGAUACGAUUGUAACCGGUGUAGUUAUUUGGUCGAGUUGGCUAGGCUUAGCUGAGCGAGGAUUGUUGAGCCAUUGAUCGUAUAGCGUACGAUUCACGAUACAUCUACCCAUGAACUAGUUAAGUUUUGGUUCCAUCGAUUAUGUUCGAAUUGGUAUGUACGACGCCAAUUCUGGUAGCAUCAUAUACAGCAUGGACAGCAGCCGAAAUGUCAGCCGAUGAGCUAAUUGUUCUCCUGAGUCUUAUCAGUUUCCAUCGCGGGAGGUAACGAUUGUCGCAGCUUAUCAUUCGCUUCCAUCUGUUUAUCUUUCUCAUACAUGCGCACAUCGUCGAUGCUCAUGCCGUGCCACUCGUCAAUCCAUGCAAACGCUUGCCUGUGUCCCAGCAGCAGCACAUCUCGAAUACACUUGAAACGGAAACAUCGAUUAACCGAAGGGUGGAUUAAAUGGGCAAUUUGAGAUACCUUCUGUAUGAAGUCCUCAACCCGUGUCUGCAAGCCCCAGACUUCGAAGGAAGCUUCUACCAAUUUGUAGGAGCACAUCAUUGGUUUAUCCGUUUGGCGCCAUCCCUCCACUAGGGGGCCACGUCCAGUAACACGUGACUUGAAGAAUUUGGGAUCUUCCUCCUUUUUGUAAUGCUUUUCCGAGGGUUCCUCAAAAGCUAUGUCGACAUGGUCAACUAUUCGAGUUUUUAGAGCUUCCUCUGCAAGGUUUAGGCACUGCAAGAGAGUGGAAUGAUAGUAAGCUACUGGACGGAGCUGUGUUGGUGUGAGUAAGAUGGUUUAGCAUACGUUUUCCGAUGUGCCAGCAUUAUCUUCAAAUCGAGUCAGUAUACGUAUAUGUAGCUUUGGAAUAAACGAGCACUUUGGAGAGAACGGAAAAA